GCCUGUAGUCCCAGCUACUCGGGAGGCUGAGGCUGGAGGAUCGCUUGAGCCCAGGAGCUCUGGGCUGUAGUGUGCUAUGCUGAUUGGGUGUCCGCACUAAGUUCAGCAUCAAUAUGGUGACCUCCCGGGAGCGGGUGGCCACCAGGUUGCCUAAGGAGGGGUGAACCGGCCCAGGUCGGAGAUGGAGCAGGUCAAAGCUCCCAUGCUGAUCAGUAGUGGGAUCGCGCCUGUGAACAGCCACUGCACUCCAGCCUAGGCAACAUAGUGAGACCCAUCUCUA
rnacentral:SRP_RNA from 1 species